rnacentral:rRNA from 1 species
AAAACCGGGGCAACUCGGUGAGUACAGCGGCGGAAGGGUGCGUAAUACAUGGAUAACGUACCCUCCAGUUCGGGAUAACUCUCCGAAAGGUGGGCUAAUACCGGGUAAUGGCAGCGGGUGGCAUCAUCUGCUGCUUAAAGACGCAAGUCGCUGGAGGAGCGGUCCAUGGCCUAUCAGCUAGUUGGCGGGGUAACGGCCCACCAAGGCAAUGACGGGUAGCCGGACUGAGAGGUUGAACGGCCACACGGGAACUGAGACACGGUCCCGACAUCUACGGAUGGCAGCAGUAGGGAAUCUUGCGCAAUGGGCGAAAGCCUGACGCAGCGACACCGCGUGGGGGAUGAAGGCCUUCGGGUUGUAAACCCCUUUCAUGAGGGAAGAACACUGACCUAACCUCAGGAAGAAGCACCGGCUAACUCCGUGCCAGCAGCUGCGGUAAUACGGAGAGUGCGAACGUUGUUCGGAUUCACUGGGCGUAAAGGGCACGUAGGCGGCUCGGCAAAUCGGUCGUGGAAUCUCGACGCUUACCGUCGAAACGGCGGCCGAAAAUACCGGGCUCGAGGGCGUGAGGGGUCACUGGAACUCCUGGUGAAGCGGUGAAAUGCGUAGAUAUCAGGAGGAACGCCGGAGGCGAAAGCGAGUGACUGGCGCGUUCCUGACGCUGAGGUGCGAAAGCUAGGGGAGCAAACAGGAUUAGAUACCCUGGUAGUCCUAGCCGUAAACGAUGGACACUGAGUGGGGGGAAGGGCUUGCCUUUCCCUGCUGCAGCUAACGCGUUAAGUGUCCCGCCUGGGGAGUACGGCCGCAAGGUUAAAACUCAAAGGAAUUGACGGGGGCUCGCACAAGCNGGUGGA